CCUUAAUACCAUUAAGCUUUACCACAGAGGGGUACAACACCACGUCCUCACUAACUUUCCUAAUCAUGUACCUUUCUUAGCAUCAUACCCUAUUAAGAACAUGCUUAACGGUAUUCACAAUGUUACAGUUCCCCUUGUCACUACCAGAUUGCCAAUAGAUGGUCCUAUUUUCAGACUACUUAGCGACCUACUGGACAAAUCCCCGUUCGACUAUCACACUAGCCUGGUUAUAAAGGCAGCUAUCUUUAUUGCUUUCUAUAGCUUCCUUAGACCUAAGGAGUUCAGUCAUACGCCAGGUAGAUACUACAUCAACCUUAAACUAUCUCAUCUAAAGAAAGUCGAUGACCACUAUGUACCAUUACCUUCCACAAAGACUAACCACACCAAUCAUCCCACUAUCAUUCCUCUCUUUCCUACCGAGAAUGCCUGGUGUCCAGUCAAAGUGCUUGACAUUUUUCUUGUAUCUCACCACGCACACUCACUGGACACUCCACUAUUAGUACUCCAAGGGCACCCACUCACCACAGCUAAAUUCACAUCUCUCGUCAGGACUCUCAAGGUUGGGCUACAACCCGACUUCCUUCUCCGGUCACUCCUAUCUUAUAGGUGUAGCAUCUUCCGCAUCAAGCUCAAACACACCAGUCCACAUCAUUAAGAGACUGGGCGGCUGGAAAUCCUCUAUUUACAAUACUUGCAUACCAUGACCGGAG